GUCUACUACUGAGGACUGCGUUUAGUCUUUUUUCAUAUUUAUAUCACUGUGUAAAACACUACAGUGUCUUAACGUACAGUAGAGCCCUAUUCACAGGGGACUGGUAUUACUAUAGAACGUUGGUUAUGGAAUUAUCACCCCAGCAGGUCCGCUUUUUCCAGUGGACGAUUUCGGACCGGAUUAGUUUUACCAAACUGCCCCUGUAAUAUUUUUAAAAUUAUUUUUAUGCCUCAUUCACAAUUGACCGAUAUUGUCAAAUGAAUUGAGAAAUGAAAUCCGACCAUUAAACCUCUACGCAGGUUACAGUUAAUGCUUCUUAUUGAUAUGGAUCCAAACUGAAGGUCAUUAGGUCAAUAUUAGACUAUCCCUAGAUGUGAACUGAAGGUCAUUAGGUCAAUAUUAGACUGUCCCUAGACAUGUGAACUGAAGGUCAUUAGGUCAAUAUUAGACUGUCCCUAGACAUGUGAACUGAAGGUCAUUAGGUCAAUAUUAGACUGUCCCUAGACAUGUGAACUGAAGGUCAUUAGGUCAAUAUUAGACUGUCCCUAGACAUGUGAACUGAAGGUCAUUAGGUCAAUAUUAGACUGUCCCUAGAUGUGAACUAAAGGUCAUUAGGUCAAUAUUAGACUGUCCCUAGACAUGUGAACUGAAGGUCAUUCGGUCAAUAUUAGACUGUCCCUAGACAUGUGAACUGAAGGUCAUUAGGUGAAUAUUAGACUGUCCCUAGACAUGUGAACUAAAGGUCAUUAGGUGAAUAUUAGACUGUCCCUAGACAUGUGAACUGAAGGUCAUUAGGUCAAUAUUAGACUGUCCCUAGACAUGUGAAAUAUCUUCACUCCUAGAAG